UACGUAGGGGGCGAGCGUUGUCCGGAUUUACUGGGCGUAAAGAGCGCGCAGGCGGUCGUUCAAGUCGCGUGUGAAAGCCCCCGGCUCAACUGGGGAGGGUCACGCGAUACUGAUCGACUCGAAGGCAGGAGAGGGUAGUGGAAUUCUCGGUGUAGCGGUGAAAUGCGUAGAUAUCGAGAGGAACACCUGCGGCGAAGGCGGGUUGCUGGGCUGACACUGACGCUGAUGCGCGAAAGCCAGGGGAGCGAACGGG
rnacentral:rRNA from 1 species